rnacentral:rRNA from 1 species
AAUCAACGCUGGCGGCGUGCCUAACACAUGCAAGUCGAACGAGAAGGUGACUUCGGUCACUGGAUAGUGGCGUCCGGGUGAGUAACACGUAGGUAAUCUACCUUCGGGUGGGGAAUAACGUCUCGAAAGAGACGCUAAUACCGCAUAAUGCAGCGGCACCUAAUGGUGAUUAGUUGUUAAAGCGGGGGAUCUUCGGACCUCGCGCCUGAAGAGGAGCCUGCGGCAGAUUAGCUAGUUGGUAAGGUAACGGCUUACCAGGCAACGAUCCGUAGCCGGCCUGGAGGA